GAUGAACGCUGGCGGCGUGCUUAACACAUGCAAGUCGAACGGAAAGGCCGAAGCUUGCUUCGGUACUCGAGUGGCGAACGGGUGAGUAACACGUGGGUGAUCUGCCCUGUACUUCGGGAUAAGCUUGGGAAACUGGGUCUAAUACCGGAUAUGACGAUCUCUUGGAUGGGGUUGUGGAAAGCUUUUGCGGUAUGGGAUGAGCUCGCGGCCUAUCAGCUUGUUGGUGGGGUAAUGGCCUACCAAGGCGUCGACGGGUAGCCGGCCUGAGAGGGUGUACGGCCACAUUGGGACUGAGAUACGGCCCAGACUCCUACGGGAGGCAGCAGUGGGGAAUAUUGCACAAUGGGCGCAAGCCUGAGGCAGCGACGCCGCGUGGGGGAUGACGGCCCUCGGGUUGUAAACUCCUUUCGCAAUCGACGAAGCCUUUUGGUGACGGUAGGUUGAGAAGAAGCACCGGCUAACUACGUG
rnacentral:rRNA from 1 species